rnacentral:lncRNA from 1 species
AGUCCCGACUUGAUGGAGGUCUUGAAGAACUCGUCAGACCCCAUCGUCAGUCAUAUAUAAGAUUGGCUCAACUCGAGUUCAUUUGUGAAUCUCGUAGAAACUCUUUUCCAAUAUUCACACUUGCUUUGGCCAAAGAUUUUUUGAACUCAGUCUCGUAAAUUAUAUAGGACUUCUUCUUUUCUAUCAAGAUCGAUAGAUUCUAUCAGGUACAUUCUACUCCAAACAGCGAACCUGAACCUACUGAAGC